rnacentral:rRNA from 1 species
GACGAACGCUGGCGGCGUGCUUAACACAUGCAAGUCGAACGGAAAGGCCCUGCUUUUGUGGGGUGCUCGAGUGGCGAACGGGUGAGUAACACGUGAGUAACCUGCCCUUGACUUUGGGAUAACUUCAGGAAACUGGGGCUAAUACCGGAUAGGAGCUCCUGCUGCAUGGUGGGGGUUGGAAAGUUUCGGCGGUUGGGGAUGGACUCGCGGCUUAUCAGCUUGUUGGUGGGGUAGUGGCUUACCAAGGCUUUGACGGGUAGCCGGCCUGAGAGGGUGACCGGCCACAUUGGGACUGAGAUACGGCCCAGACUCCUACGGGAGGCAGCAGUGGGGAAUAUAGCACAAUGGGCGGAAGCCUGACGCAGCAACGCCGCGUGCGGGAUGACGGCCUUCGGGUUGUAAACCGCUUUCGCCUGUGACGAAGCGUGAGUGACGGUAAUGGGUAAAGAAGCACCGGCUAACUACGUG